UAUUAAAAUGGAUGACAAUGAAAUCGAUU
rnacentral:piRNA from 1 species